rnacentral:rRNA from 1 species
UACAGAGGGUGCAAGCGUUGUUCGGAAUUACUGGGCGUAAAGCGUGCGCAGGCGGUUGUGCAAGACCGAUGUGAAAGCCCCGGGCUUAACCUGGGAACGGCAUUGGUGACUGCACGGCUAGAGUGUGUCAGAGGGGGGUAGAAUUCCACGUGUAGCAGUGAAAUGCGUAGAGAUGUGGAGGAAUACCGAUGGCGAAGGCAGCCCCCUGGGAUGACGACUGACGCUCAUGCACGAAAGCGUGGGGAGCAAACAGG